rnacentral:rRNA from 1 species
CCCUGGUGGCGAGUGGCGAACGGGUGAGUAAUAUAUCGGAACGUGCCCAGUCGUGGGGGAUAACGUAGCGAAAGUUACGCUAAUACCGCAUACGAUCUACGGAUGAAAGCGGGGGAUCGCAAGACCUCGCGCGAUUGGAGCGGCCGAUAUCAGAUUAGGUAGUUGGUGGGGUAAAGGCUCACCAAGCCAACGAUCUGUAGCUGGUCUGAGAGGACGACCAGCCACACUGGGACUGAGACACGGCCCAGACUCCUACGGGAGGCAGCAGUGGGGAAUUUUGGACAAUGGACGCAAGUCUGAUCCAGCCAUUCCGCGUGCAGGACGAAGGCCUUCGGGUUGUAAACUGCUUUUGUACGGAGCGAAAAAGCUCUUACUAAUACUAGGAGUCCAUGACGGUACCGUAAGAAUAAGCACCGGCUAACUACGUGCCAGCAGCCGCGGUAAUACGUAGGGUGCGAGCGUUAAUCGGAAUUACUGGGCGUAAAGCGUGCGCAGGCGGUUAUAUA